GGAGGGGGUAAAACCUGCAACCAAGAAAACAUCCCAAGAGCUGUAAAUGAGGAGAAGCUUCUCUUAUCUUCCCCCAGACACUUAUUUGCAUUCCAAAAGGUAAGAAGCCCAGACCUUUCCCUUUGCUUCCCCAGCAAAAUUGGUGUACACUAGAAAGCAGAGGUUUCUCUGCCUUUCUCAGAAGGGGAAAAGAGAAAGCUGACCCUCUCGUAUAUAAGCUCUCAGAUUCAUAAUUUUGAGGGGGGCUUUCUCUCCUGCAGUACAGAACCUAGUACAUAUAAGAGGACAUCUGGCUUUCAUCAUAUCACUCUAGGGGGUUGGGGCAAG
rnacentral:lncRNA from 10 species